rnacentral:rRNA from 1 species
AACGAACGCUGGAGGCAGGCUUAAUACAUGCAAGUCGAACGAGUGCAGCAAUGCAUCAGUGGCAGACGGGUGAGUAACACGUGGGAACCUUCCUAGGGGUACGGAACAACUCAGGGAAACUUGGGCUAAUACCGUAUACGUCCGUGAGGAGAAAGAUUUAUCGCCCUUAGACGGGCCCGCGUAGGAUAUGCUAGUUGGUGGGGUAACGGCCUACCAAGGCGACGAUCCGUAGCUGAUCUUAGAGGAUGAUCAGCCACACUGGGACUGAGACACAGCCCAGACUCCUGCGGGAGGCAGCAGUGGGGAAUAUUGGUCAAUGGGCGCAAGCCUGAUCCAUCCAUGCCGCGUGAGUGAAGAAGGUCUUCGAAUUGUAAAGCUCUUUUGCCAGGGACGAUAAUGACGGUACCUGGAGAAUAAGCCCCGGCAAACUUCGUGCCAGCAGCCGCCGUAAAAC